rnacentral:rRNA from 1 species
CGCGAAUGGCUCAUUACAACAGCUAUAAUUUACUUGAUCUUGACACAAUCCUACUUGGAUAACUGUGGUAAUUCUAGAGCUAAUACAUGCAUUAAAGCUCCGACCUCACGGGAAGAGUGCAUUUAUUAGAACAAAACCAAGCGGCUUCGGCUGUUUUCGGUUGACUCAUAGUAACUGAGCUGAUCGCAUGGGCUUGUCCCGGCGACGUGUCUUUCAAGUAUCUGCCGUAUCAACUUUCGAUGGUAGUGUAUCUGACUACCAUGGUGAUCACGCGUAACGGAGAAUAAGGGUUCGGCUCCGGAGAGUUCGCCUGAGAAAUCGCGAACACAUCUAAGGAAGGCAGCAGGCGCGAAAAUUACCCACUCUCAGCACGAGGAGGUAGUGACGAAAAAUAACGAGACCGUUCUCUUAUGAGGCCGGUCAUCGGAAUGGGUACAAUUUAAGCCCUUUAACGAGUAUCUAUGAGAGGGCAAGUCUGGUGCCGGCAGCCGCGGUAAUUCCAGCU